AGAGUUUGAUCCUGGCUCAGGAUGAACGCUGGCGGCGUGCCUAAUACAUGCAAGUCGAGCGAAUGGAUUGAGAGCUUGCUCUCAAGAAGUUAGCGGCGGACGGGUGAGUAACACGUGGGUAACCUGCCCAUAAGACUGGGAUAACUCCGGGAAACCGGGGCUAAUACCGGAUAACAUUUUGAACCGCAUGGUUCGAAAUUGAAAGGCGGCUUCGGCUGUCACUUAUGGAUGGACCCGCGUCGCAUUAGCUAGUUGGUGAGGUAACGGCUCACCAAGGCAACGAUGCGUAGCCGACCUGAGAGGGUGAUCGGCCACACUGGGACUGAGACACGGCCCAGACUCCUACGGGAGGCAGCAGUAGGGAAUCUUCCACAAUGGGCGAAAGCCUGAUGGGGCAACGCCGCGUGAGUGAAGAAGGAUUUCGGUUCGUAAAACUCUGUUGUAAGGGAAGAACAAGUACAGUAGUAACUGGCUGUACCUUGACGGUACCUUAUUAGAAAGCCACGGCUAACUACGUGCCAGCAGCCGCGGUAAUACGUAGGUGGCAAGCGUUAUCCGGAAUUAUUGGGCGUAAAGCGCGCGCAGGUGGUUUCUUAAGUCUGAUGUGAAAGCCCCCGGCUCAACCGGGGAGGGUCAUUGGAAACUGGGGAACUUGAGUGCAGAAGAGGAGAGCGGAAUUCCACGUGUAGCGGUGAAAUGCGUAGAGAUGUGGAGGAACACUAGUGGCGAAGGCGGCUCUCUGGUCUGUAACUGACGCUGAGGCGCGAAAGCGUGGGGAGCGAACAGGAUUAGAUACCCUGGUAGU
rnacentral:rRNA from 1 species